rnacentral:lncRNA from 1 species
GUGGAACUCUGCCAAAAUGGAGCUUUGGAAUGUUAAGAAACCACCUUCCAUGUUAACUCCAGGGGGACAAAACCAUGUAGGAAUGACAACAGAUUUGACAAGCAGGAACCGAAGAUGGUGGGAAGUAGAUCUCUACCCCGAAAGCUCCCAAGUGAUGGCCCGAGAGGACGGUCACAGCCGAGACACCCAAGGGCUUAUGAACACCUAGAGUUUUGUACUUUGAAGCCACAAAAUGAAAGGUCUGUUGAUGUACAUGGGGCUCAGGAACCCAACAGGUAUGGAACGAACCUAGGGCUCUUACUACCUCAGAUCUGUGGUUCCUGUUCUACGAGAUCUUUGAGGAUCGUCCUGUGAACACACCCACCGUCACACAUCACACACCACCACCACACAACACCACACACUACUGCAUACCACCACACACCACUACACACUACUGCAUACCAUCACACACCACCACACACCAGUACACACUACUAUGUACCACCACACACCACCACAUACCACUACACACCACACAUACCUACACACUACUGCAUACCACCACACACCACCACACACCACUACACACUAUUGCAUACCACCACACACCACCACAUACCACUACACACUACUGCAUACCACCACACACCACCACACACCACUACACACUACUAUGUACCACCACAUACCACCACAUACCACUACACACCACACAUACCAUCACACACAC